AGCGAACGCUGGCGGCAGGCCUAACACAUGCAAGUCGAACGAACCCUUUGGGGUUAGUGGCGGACGGGUGAGUAACACGUGGGAACGUGCCUUUAGGUUCGGAAUAACUCAGGGAAACCUGUGCUAAUACCGAAUGUGCCCUUCGGGGGAAAGAUUUAUCGCCUUUAGAGCGGCCCGCGUCUGAUUAGCUUGUUGGUGGGGUAAUGGCCCACCAAGGCGACGAUCAGUAGCUGGUCUGAGAGGAUGACCAGCCACAUUGGGACUGAGACACGGCCCAAACUCCUACGGGAGGCAGCAGUGGGGAAUCUUGCGCAAUGGGCGAAAGCCUGACGCAGCCAUGCCGCGUGGAUGAUGAAGGUCUUAGGAUUGUAAAAUCCUUUCACCGGUGAAGAUAACGACUGUAGCCGGAGAAGAAGUCCCGGCUAACUUCGUGCCAGCAGCCGCGGUAAAAC
rnacentral:rRNA from 1 species